AUUGAACGCUGGCGGCAGGCCUAACACAUGCAAGUCGAACGGUAACAGGAAGAAGCUUGCUUCUUUGCUGACGAGUGGCGGACGGGUGAGUAAUGUCUGGGAAACUGCCUGAUGGAGGGGGAUAACUACUGGAAACGGUAGCUAAUACCGCAUAACGUCGCAAGACCAAAGAGGGGGACCCUCGGGCCUCUUGCCAUCGGAUGUGCCCAGAUGGGAUUAGCUUGUUGGUGGGGUAACGGCUCACCAAGGCGACGAUCCCUAGCUGGUCUGAGAGGAUGACCAGCCACACUGGAACUGAGACACGGUCCAGACUCCUACGGGAGGCAGCAGUGGGGAAUAUUGCACAAUGGGCGCAAGCCUGAUGCAGCCAUGCCGCGUGUAUGAAGAAGGCCUUCGGGUUGUAAAGUACUUUCAGCGGGGAGGAAGGGAGUAAAGUUAAUACCUUUGCUCAUUGACGUUACCCGCAGAAGAAGCAC
rnacentral:rRNA from 1 species